GAGUUACAUUGUUACCAUGGUGCUGUGUGGUCGCCUAGGCGGAGAGCUCCUGUACAUUGUGUUAUUUUUUUUUAUAAAUCUCUGUUUUGUUGACAUAAAUAUUGUGACCUUCAAUGUAAAAGUUACAGGACUUCAACAUCAAAUCAGUUUUUUUGCCUUGGCUAGCUAGCUACCUGGAUGGCUAAUGUUUGCAUUGAAAUAAUGCUGCAGCAGCUCCGGUUUUUAUGUUUCAUCUGGAAGGUGAAGACUGCGAUGUCAGAGUGGCAGAGGGACUGUUCCUGACCACUGCUGAUUUUCUGGCGCUUUACUGCAGCAUCAACCAGGUGCCUGCUUCACUGUAGGCAAUGGAGGAUCAGCUACCUACGGAGUAGAGGCUACUAUGGAGUAACUGCGAACGUUGGACAAAGCGAUGGGCCCUUAAGAGCUCCUGGCUUGUCUGACACACUGACUUUCUCCCUGGCUGCACCCUCCACUCAAGCCAUACUGACUUUUCCAAACUGCCUCAACUCCAUUCGUUUUGCAUCUUUAAUUUGUUGUUCAUUGAUGAAUGAUGUAUUUUGUUAACAAGAGGACCUCAAUGGAAAUACAUUUCUAAACGUUGUGUUAUCAUAUAUCAUGCUUAUCUACAAAUGCCUGUCUCAAGCUUCCUGUCACUCACCAGGGCCAUGAUGAUCUGGACGUGACUAACGAGUCGAGGCAAAGAACCAAUGGUUGUGCCUGAGUCUUAUCACCUCUCAACAAGGCAGCGGCUAUUAAGAAGAAGGAAGCAGCUGUGGACCGGAAGACUGCAGCCAAGGCAGCACUGGUCCACACUUGUCCUGUCUGUCGGAUGCAGACUAGAAGACAUUCAAGCAGCACUUUGAGAGCAAGCAUCCCAAGACUCCAAUGGUCCCAGUACUGGUUGGAGUGCAGGCCUAUGUGCCCACACACACUCAAAUGGACCUACAGCUGAGACGCACGAUUACCACGAUUUAAAUGCUGCAACUGAGACGGAAUGACGUCGAGGGACACACGCUGAGAACCAGAGUAUGACUGGACAUGGGCCGGAUAUUUGUGACAACGUCCUAAAAGGCGUGCAGAAGCACACCAGCACAUUUACAUUAACGUCAUUUAGCAGAUGCUCUUAUCCAGAGCGACUUACAAAUUGCACCCCAUGUUAUGUUUAUUCCAUGGCCAACCAUCCCUUUAGUUACCGCUUAUUCCACACUAUGCCUUUUAUGCCCCAUGCUCCCUCAACUUCGACUUUUUUGAAACUCUCCAUCUUAUCUCUAUAAACCCACCCUACCUUCACCCGUU